CCAAAACAGAUGUCUCCAAUCGCAUUGAGCCUUAUUAGCCAUCCACAGCCAUCCUGACACCUCUAGGCAUAGGGCGGCCAUCGCCUUCUCAUGUCGGGAGCAAAGGCGCAUUUGCACCAGAAUAAUGCCUUUGGAAUGUUCACCUGGAAUUCUGCCCCCUCGUCUCCCAUACUUUCAUUCCUAACUGUCUCCAGUAUAGUCCCAAGAGAAAAGCUGUUGAAAAUGUUUAAGAAGUUCCACAACAGAUUUUAAAAACAUCCAACAUGACUUCUUAAGGAGACCAGCUGCUGAGAAAUGCGUGUUGACAACAUGCUGCUGGAACAUAGUCUUCUGGAUCAGAUGUUGCACAAUAGACGCCACACCUCUUUCUUAUCCCUUAAUACAACAGCAGGCCAUGUAUGGCAAACAAAUCAGAUAACAUUACCUGCUGGAGAAUUAUAUCAUUUCCAACAUCACUGUGCGCUGUCAUACCCAGAGGCAGAACCAUAGACAACAUGGGUGUGCUUCGCAACCUGGCUGUUCCUCUACCAAGAUGAAGGAUGCUAUCUGCUGGCAUACUGCGCAAUCCGAUCGAUGGCAUACACAAUGCACUUGUGGAAUAUUAAGCAUGGAUGUUAACAGUGUGCAGAUCUCAGCGGGGAACCCUUUCAGUGGCUGGCGGGGAAACAUGUCCAGCAUUUAUUCUUUGCUGUGCCAUCCAUCCGGGCUGCCUAAUUUGACUUUCCAAAGGCAGGUAACCUGGGAGGGAGGCAUCAUUCAAAGAAGCAAAAAAAGAGAAAGGAAUAAUAGUGGAAGGAUGGCCAAUGACAUUCCAAGCUGUGGGAUCAGCAACUUCUUGGAUACCUUGAAAGGGCUCCUCAGUGAGAAGAUCGUGGUGGAGAAGCUUUCCUGAAAGACAUCUUGCUAAGUGUUUCAUUGAGGGAAAAGCCAGUGCAAUCCAGUGCACCUCUGUAGGGGUGAGCCAGCGAACCCAGCAGAGCCUCAGACAGAGCACAGGAAUGCCUCCACCAUCUGUUGCCUUCUGGGUGCACCCGCUCACCUGUCACAAGACCCCCCCCCGCAUGACUCUCACCGGGUCGUUUCAAGAUGCUCCCUGGACAAAGGGACUAAAAGAUACAUUACCCCCCCAGGUAUGGACUAAGGCCCAAAUUGAACAGAAUGUUUCCUCCCACGCCCCGUCUGUCAUGCCCCUAUGAUUCAUGUAUUGUGCAACAUUCUCCCGCUCUCCCGCCUUUGCCAAACCCUUAAUAAAAGGUGCCAGGGACCCCAGCUCGGCAGAUUAGCCAGAUCCAUCGAUCAUGCUAUAUCGCCAUUGUCUUCUCUCCACCGGAUGAUAUCGCUGCAUAUCGCCUAUUCCUUGCGUCGACCGUAACGACUUCACACCUCUCUGUGUAGCUAGCAAGUAUUUGCAAAAAGGGUUGGUGCCAAGGGUCAGCAUGGUCGGGCACCUGCCAACGCCUGCAACCAAGCAGAAUGUCCCAAAAGAAAAGAUGCUAAGGGACUCCUUGAGCCUUCUGGGAAGCCCUCAGCGUUGAUGUGGAACUGCAUUUUGCCUUAAUUUCAGGAUAGGUGUAGGAAUGGCAUAAGGUUUUCAGGCAGAGUAAUGGGGCUGAUUGUGGAACACCCUCGUGGUAUUUAAUCAAAACAGACUUUUACCUCUUGUGGAUCAAGUUAUCGGGGGGGGGGGGGUCCCACAAGCUUGCUGCAAAGCUCAGCUAUGGAUUGCACUGGUUGGCUAGUGCCUGUGAUUUUGUCAACAUACUUUCUUCACCCAAACCCUGAAGCAAUUUGCAGCUGUUAGCCUUCUCCCCAUUCCUGCCCCUCCCACUCAAUAAGGUAAGGGACAAAUAGAUACAUAUACAUCGAGUGCAUUUAAAAAAAAAUAUCCUGAAGCAAUGAACAAAGCUGAAAGUUGUCCUAGAAUUUGACUUAAUAGAACAGAUGCCUGUCAUGCAAAUUGCAGCUGGGGGAAACCAGCCUCACAGUAUGGAUGCUGUGUCUCCUAAAUAGUGUGUCUGUCCCCCCUUUUAGGUAGCUAUGGGUACUAACAGCAUGAUGCACAAGCUUUCCUGCGCAAGUCGCACUGCAGGAUGUGGCAGGGGAGCCCCUCCACCUGUGCCCAGCAAACUCCAGGCAGAAAUAAGAGGGAAGGGAUUCUCCCAGCCAUUUCUCCUGCCCCUUGCAGCUGUGCUGCUUGCAAGUGGGAGGAAAAGUUUCCAAAGCCUCCAGCCAGGAACAGCAGGCCCACACCAUCCCAUGGGGGCAUGUUGAGACUGCUCAGACUAAGAGCAGUGGUUCCCAGCUGGGGAAUGGGGCCUCCGGUGUUUGACUGGGGUUUUUUGGAAACUGCUCUCUGUCCCCAAGCCAUAGCGCUGUUCUGGGAGGAACAGCAUGUCACAGAGGUGUGUGAUUCAACCCCCAAAUGCACCUAGAGGUUCCCAGGGCUGAGGUCAUGAACACAGCAUCUUACAAUUCUGCACAGAAUAAGCAGGUGAUUAAUGGGACCCUUAGGGGAGUUGGGGAUACACUUUGCACAUGUUCAGAGAUACUCUCAUCUGUAUUAUGCCACAGAGGUAGAGAUGAGCAAAUAAGCUAUUGUUUCUCUUAAUAAAUUUUCUUUAUAUUAAUU